rnacentral:tRNA from 1 species
AAGGGAGACCUAAUUCGGGUAUAAGACGAAAAAAGAGUAGUCGAAACCAAGAAUCAAUCCCAAAAGGUCGGAACGAGGUAUGUGGCUUUCAAACUAGGUUCUGGGUUCACACAAGACCUGAAUCAGGAACAAGGGCUAUUAGCUCAGGUGGUUAGGGCGCACCCCUGAUAAGGGUGAGGUCCCUGGUUCGAGUCCAGGAUGGCCCACCUGCACAGGUGGCAAAAACAAAGAAGCGAGGAAUCAGCACCUUAUCUUAUCUGUAUAUAAGAGAGAAUGCUGGCUCUGAGUAAAGAGUCCAGAGGAACCUUGAAAACUGCAUAGAGCUAGGUGAAAAAGCCAAAAAAGAAGACCGCAA